rnacentral:misc_RNA from 1 species
GGUGAGGAGAGGAAUUUUAAAUUAAAUGGUAACGUAAUUUGAUACAAUCACAGCAUCCAGAGACGUGAAUUACUCAAAAAACUUUGAAAUACAAACGACAAAAAGACGAAGUCGAUGAGCCUUUUGUUCAGAUCAUCACCAUCACUUACCAAUUUGUUCGACAUGAAGAAACAAUGCUCUUAAUUGUAGACCAUGUACUUUGGUGUUGCA